CAGCAGCCGCGGGAAUACAGAGGGUGCAAGCGUUAAUCGGAAUUACUGGGCGUAAAGCGCGCGUAGGUGGUUUGUUAAGUUGGAUGUGAAAUCCCCGGGCUCAACCUGGGAAUGGCAGUGGAUACUGGCAAGCUAGAGUGUGUCAGAGGAUGGUGGAAUUCCCGGUGUAGCGGUGAAAUGCGUAGAGAUCGGGAGGAACAUCAGUGGCGAAGGCGGCCAUCUGGGACAACACUGACGCUGAGGCACGAAAGCGUGGGGAGCAAACAUGAUUAGAUACCCGCGUAGUCCCUGUCUCUUAUAA
rnacentral:rRNA from 1 species